GGCGACCUCAGUCGGGCGAGACUCACC
rnacentral:rRNA from 1 species